rnacentral:rRNA from 1 species
AUACAGAGGGUGCGAGCGUUAGUGGGAAUUACUGGGCGUAAAGCGCGCGUAGGCGGCUACUUAAGUCAGAUGUGAAAUCCCCGGGCUCAACCUGGGAACUGCAUCUGAUACUGGGUAGCUAGAGUUUAGGAGAGGGAAGUAGAAUUUCAGGUGUAGCGGUGAAAUGCAUAGAGAUCUGAAGGAAUACCAGUGGCGAAGGCGGCUUCCUGGCCUAAAACUGACGCUGAGGUGCGAAAGCGUGGGUAGCAAACGGGAUUAGAAACCCCAGUAGUCC